GAAGCUCCAAGAGGUUGUUUCUGACAGCUUGACCACCUCUCACUCUCACAAGUUGGCUGCCUUGUCAUUGGCAGAGUCCUCAAGCAGAUCCAGCUGCCCAGACAGAGCUGGCUCGUGCUUGGAAACGUGGCAGGCAGCCAGAGCAGCAGAGAGACCUGCUGGCUUUUCCCUACACAAUCCCUUAACAAGGAAUCCUGAUGUUCCUGGGCACAGUUUUCUUUCCCUGGGUACCUCACACCUUCGGGCAGCUGCUUUGAUACCUCUGAGACUCCCCUCAGCACAGAAACAAACAAGUUUUUUUGUUUCUUUCUCUGUAAGGAUGAGCAUGCAAGAAAACCCCUUGUUAAACAGGAAUUUCUUUGCACCAGAGAGGCAACUCCAGCCCACUCUAACCAGGCAGAGAGGAUCCUUGUUGGGAGAUCAGUUUGCUCCUCCAGGAGCAUCAUGUUCCCCUUGGCCAGCUAAAUCUUCCCUCUACAAGGCCUGAAGAGUCCAAGCAGGUGACCAGAGAGUGAGCCAGGCCAAAUGUCGCUGGGUGCCAAACUUGGCAUCAGCAUUAUUGGUCUGUUAUCAACAGCAGAGGUUCACUGGGUUAUGCAGAUGCCUCCAAAUCUGUGAUUUUAAAUUUCUGGAGCAAGUCAAUCAAUAAAGUUCACUUGAGGAUCAAGGUC
rnacentral:lncRNA from 1 species